CGCGAAUGGCUCAUUACAACAGCUAUAAUUUACUUGAUCUUGACUUCCUACUUGGAUAACUGUGGUAAUUCUAGAGCUAAUACAUGCACCAAAGCUCCGACCUUACGGGAAGAGCGCAUUUAUUCGAACAAAACCAAGCGGCUUCGGCCGUUCGCAGUUGACUCAGAAUAACUAAGCUGAUCGCAUGGUCUUGAACCGGCGACGUGUCUUUCAAGUAUCUGCCUUAUCAACUUUCGAUGGUAGUGUAUCUGACUACCAUGGUGGUGACGGGUAACGGAGGAUAAGGGUUCGACUCCGGAGAAGGGGCCUGAGAAAUGGCCACUACGUCUAAGGAUGGCAGCAGGCGCGCAAAUUACCCACUCUCAGAAUGAGGAGGUAGUGACGAGAAAUAACGAGACCGUUCUCUACGAGGCCGGUCAUCGGAAUGGGUACAAUUUAAACCCUUUAACGAGUACCUAUGAGAGGGCAAGUCUGGUGCCAGCAGCCGCGGUAAUUCCAGCU
rnacentral:rRNA from 1 species